rnacentral:tRNA from 1 species
CGGGGUGUGGCUCAGCCUGGCAGAGCGUUCGGUUCGGGACCGAAAGGUCGGAGGUUCAAAUCCUCUCACCCCGA